GCAGUUGUGCCCUAGUGGAUAAGGAGAUUGACUGGUGAUAAGAUUUGCUGGUUUGAACCCCAGCCCACUGCG